AACGUGUGGUUACUUACCAAAGUCUGGUUCUGACCUUGACCUUCUAAACUCUCUGUGGAUCCUCCAGCCCAGACACAGAAUACUGUCAGCCAACCAAGGAAAAAGCAGAUGUACAAAAAUUCCACCUUUCCCUUGAAAAUCUCACUUCCUGCAGCUUUUCCUCCCCUUGUGUUGCUUGGCUGGGGGUCCCCCCAUCACUUUGGGGUGUUUGUCACCAGUUCUGGGGAAGAGGCUGUGAACUGUUCUGCCCAGGGAGAGCAUCCACCCCCCAAAGUGGUGAAAGUUGGGCUGUGGGAGAGUCUCUGACUGUUGGCUUCAGCUGAAGGUUUGCUCUGCUUUCCCUUUGCCAUGCUCAUCCUUUUAUUCCACCUUCCCCUCUCACUUCACUUUAUUUUUUUUUUUCUCUUUCUUUUCCACAAAAAAAACCCAGCCAGACCCAUAAAGCAAGUAUUAUGUUUUCACUACCUCCAUCCAUCACCCUUCCUUGUCCAGUGCAGGAAGCCACACCUGGGAUGUAAGAGGGCCUUUCCCCCUUUGUUCUUCCCUUCCCUGGCAGUUCGUGUCCCCUCUGUCCCUCUGCCCCUCCUCUCUCUGGUCUCUCACCUGUAGUAUUUUACCUGGCUACUGUAACUGUAAAUAGCAAGUUUCAAUCUGUUAGCAAUGGUAACAGUACAGAAAACUGGUUUUGGGGUUUUUUUGUUGUAUUGAUAUGAAAUGAGAUUAUAUUUUUGUCAGAGUAUAUUGUAAUAAUACUGACUUUGGACAUGGCCGAGUUGUACAGUGAUUUCUUGUUUAACCCUUUUGGCUCUUCCUGUGCACCCCUCCCAGGCCUCCCUGCUCCCCAGAUCUCCAUGUCCCACAGGUUUCUGGACAGGAGCAGCACUUGGCAGAGGUUCUGUGUCCCAGUGGCUCUGGAGAGGUCACAGCCCCCAGAGUGUGUGAGGUGCAGGAGCGCAGGGAUGCUGUGGCUGGUUCAUCCUCGUUCCUGCUCUGCUGCAGCCCUGCAGUGCCUGUCUGUGUCUGAGCCAGGAGAGGGUGGUGUGGCUCAGGCUGUGCCGGGCUGGGAUGGAGGAUGUUCCCCAGCCUGGCUCCCUGGGAGGGGACGGGCUCUGUCCCCCCAUCCCUGCACCCCCCAGCACCGAGAGGGGUUUCUGAGCCACAUCUUGGUGCUGGUGCCACUGAGAUGUGGAGACUGGCCCAGACCUUCCCUCUGUGGGUGUGAAGAGCUGUGGAACACCCGUGGGCAUCUCCCCUGAGCUGUGCUGGGCUGUGCUGGCAUCCCCCAGGCUCGUCCUCCCGUAGCAAACUCUGGGGUGUCCUCAAAAACCUUUGUAAGAUAGAGCAGACCCUUGAAACGAUGCACUAAAACGAUAAAAAAAGCAGGAAUGGCCCCUGUCAGCUUCUCAGUGCGCUGGUUCGUGGGUGUCCCGCCCAGCCCGUCCCGCACAGGCAGCUCUGCCUCCUCCCCCGGCUGCUGCACAGGCAGAAACAGAACAGGGCGAGCACCUCCCCCGAGGAGUUUUAUUUAUUGUUUUGAGAAGCAAUUUAAAAGGGAAAGAAAAAUAAAAAAAAAAAGAAAAAAAAAGAAA